rnacentral:rRNA from 1 species
AGUGAACGCUGGCGGUAGGCCUAACACAUGCCAGUCGAACGGCAGCACAGUAAGAGCUUGCUCUUACGGGUGGCGAGUGGCGGACGGGUGAGGAAUACAUCGGAAUCUACUUUUUCGUGGGGGAUAACGUAGGGAAACCUACGCUAAUACCGCAUACGACCUACGGGUGAAAGCAGGGGAUCUUCUGACCUUGCGCGAUUGAAUGCGCCGAUGUCGGAUUAGAUAGUUGGCGGGGUCAAGGCCCACCAAGGCGACGAUCCGUAGCUGGUCUGAGAGGAUGAUCAGCCACACUGGAACUGAGACACGGUCCAGACUCCUACGGGACGCAGCAGUGGGGAAUAUUGGACAAUGGGCGCAAGCCUGAUCCAGCCAUACCGCGUGGGUGAAGAAGGCCUUCGGGUUGUAAAGCCCUUUUGUUGGGAAAGAAAAGCAGCAGGUUAAUACCCCGCUGUUCUGACGGUACCCAAAGAAUAAGCACCGGCUAACUUCGUG